rnacentral:snRNA from 1 species
GGAUGUGGAGGCGAUCUGGCUGUGACAUCUGUCACCCCAUUGAUCACCAGGGUUGAUUCGGCGGAGCUGGCUGGCUAGGCGGUUGUCCCCUCCCUCCCUCACCGCUCUGCGUGCAUCCUUCCCGAAGCUUCAUGCUCAGUCCAAGAGGACAACCUUCCCCGACAGCAGAGGACCAUUCUUCAGUUGAGGGUAUACGAGUUAGCUGUGUUCCUCUGCUAGAGCCUCCAAACAAGCUCUCAAGGCCCAUUAAAAAAGCCAACCAAACAAAAAACCCCACAAAAAGCCCCACUUUCUAGUUGGGAGUGAGG